rnacentral:rRNA from 1 species
UACGUAGGGGGCUAGCGUUGUCCGGAUUUAUUGGGCGUAAAGAGCGUGUAGGCGGCCAGAUAGGUCUGCUGUGAAAACUCGAGGCUCAACCUCGAGCUGUCGGCGGAAACCAUUUGGCUAGAGUCCGGAAGAGGAGAGUGGAAUUCCUGGUGUAGCGGUGAAAUGCGUAGAUAUCAGGAGGAACACCGGUGGCGAAGGCGGCCCUCUGGACGGUGACUGACGCUGAGACGCGAAAGCGUGGGGAGCAAACAGG